AACGAACGCUGGCGGCAUGCCUAACACAUGCAAGUCGAACGAGACCUUCGGGUCUAGUGGCGCACGGGUGCGUAACGCGUGGGAACCUGCCCUUAGGUUCGGAAUAACUCCCCGAAAGGGGUGCUAAUACCGGAUAAUGUCUUCGGACCAAAGAUUUAUCGCCUUUGGAUGGGCCCGCGUUGGAUUAGCUAGUUGGUAGGGUAAAAGCCUACCAAGGCGACGAUCCAUAGCUGGUCUGAGAGGAUGAUCAGCCACACUGGGACUGAGACGCGGCCCAGACUCCUACGGGAGGCAGCAGUGGGGAAUAUUGGACAAUGGGCGAAGGCCUGAUCCAGCAAUGCCGCGUGAGUGAUGAAGGCCUUAGGGUUGUAAAGCGCUUUUACCCGGGAUGAUAAUGACAGUACCGGGAGAAUAAGCUCCGGCUAACUCCGUG
rnacentral:rRNA from 1 species